UAUGUGGGAAGAUGAGAAGAACAAA
rnacentral:piRNA from 1 species